rnacentral:rRNA from 1 species
UAGGGAAUCUUCCGCAAUGGGCGAAAGCCUGCCGGAGCAACGCCGCGUGAGUGAUGAAGGUCUUCGGAUCGUAAAACUCUGUUAUUAGGGAAGAACAAAUGUGUAAGUAACUAUGCACGUCUUGACGGUACCUAAUCAGAAAGCUACGGCUAACUACGUGCCAGCAGCCGCGGUAAUACGUAGGUGGCAAGCGUUAUCCGGAAUUAUUGGGCGUAAAGCGCGCGUAGGCGGUUUUUUAAGUCUGAUGUGAAAUCCCACGGCUCAACCGUGGAGGGUCAUUGGAAACUGGAAAACUUGGGUGCAGAAGAGGAAAGUGGAAUUCCAUGUGUAGCGGUGAAAUGCGCAGAGAUAGGGAGGAACACCAGUGGCGAAGGCGACUUUCUGGUCUGUAACUGACGCUGAUGAGCGAAAGCGUGGGGAUCAAACAGG